rnacentral:rRNA from 1 species
AACGAACGCUGGCGGCAGGCUUAACACAUGCAAGUCGAGAGCCCCGCAAGGGGAGCGGCAGACGGGUGAGUAACGCGUGGGAAUCUACCCAUCUCUACGGAAUAACGCAUGGAAACGUGUGCUAAUACCGUAUACGUCCUUCGGGAGAAAGAUUUAUCGGAGAUGGAUGAGCCCGCGUUGGAUUAGCUAGUUGGUGGGGUAAAGGCCUACCAAGGCGACGAUCCAUAGCUGUUCUGAGAGGAUGAUCAGCCACACUGGGACUGAGACACGGCCCAGACUCCUACGGGAGGCAGCAGUGGGGAAUAUUGGACAAUGGGCGCAAGCCUGAUCCAGACAUGCCGCGUGAGUGAUGAAGGCCCUAGGGUUGUAAGGCUCUUUCACCGGUGAAGAUAAUGACGGUAACCGGAGAAGAAGCCCCGGCUAACUUCGUGCCAGCCGCCGCGGUAACAC